CCACCGCAGUCAUCCAACAAGAUCAAUUCAUCAAAACAAUUCAAACAUGAAUUUUAUAUUGCUUGUAUUUUUCACAAUUUUGACUUAUAAUUCUAAAGAAUAUGUAGUAGCCGAGUCGAUAUUACCAAUUUUAAGCCCAGAGCCUCCUAGUGCUGAACCAUGCAUUAACUGCGCAAUAUAUUGGUCAAAGGAGUUGUGUGAUGAACAAAACAUGGAUCAAUUUCCAGGUUCAUGUUACGAGUGCUCCAACUGUAUUCCGAGAAAGAAUUAAAUUAAACCAAAUAUGUACUACAUGUACAAAUUCAACAACAACAAAACGUAAUCUGCGGUUUAUUAUUAUAAAUUAUUCAUGACUCACAAAAACUUUUUUAUUGUAUUAUUAACGUUGUUAAAGUGGGGAUUUGUAAUAUGAACUUGUUUAUAUAAACGCGACGUCCUUGUAUAGUCUGACAUUACUCACUAAAGCCCAAACCAUUCAGCUGGUUUUAUUUAAGAUUAAUUGUAUAACAUAAUAAUUUAACUCAUUAAAUAUGAAGUGUAGUACGUUUGUUAUUCUCGUCGCAUUUAUUGUGAUGCUGGGUUUUCAAUCUAAUUGUUGUGACGCAGCCACUGCAUCAACCGAUCAAGUGUGCAUUAAUUGUUUUGCGUACUGGAGUAAGGAACAUUGCGCAAGUUUAGGAAUGGAUCAAGUUGAAGCGACUUGUACAAGCUGUUCACGGUGUAUUCCAAGAAAUUCAAAGUAAGCAAAGGAAAAAAUCGUAGAAAAUAACAACAUUGAUAUAUUACAUCAAAAGUGACAAUAAAUGAAUUGAAAAUA